rnacentral:rRNA from 1 species
GACGAACGCUGGCGGCGUGCUUAACACAUGCAAGUCGAACGAGAGCGUAGAGAAAGCUUGCUUUUUCUACAAUCUAGUGGCAAACGGGUGAGUAACGCGUAAACAACCUGCCCUACGGAUGGGGACAACAGCUGGAAACGGCUGCUAAUACCGAAUACGUUCCGAAAGUCGCAUGACUAUCGGAAGAAAGGAUGGCCUCUAUUUAUAAGCUAUCGCCGGAGGAGGGGUUUGCGUCUGAUUAGCUAGUUGGAGGGGUAACGGCGCACCAAGGCGACGAUCAGUAGCCGGAAUGAGAGGAUGAGCGGCCACAAUGGAACUGAGACACGGUACAGAGUCAUACGGAAGGCGGCAGUGGGGAAGCGUCAGCCAGGGGCGAAAGACUGACGGAGAAACGCCGAGUGAGGGAGGACGGCCUUCGGGUGGUAAAGCUCUGUUAUACGGGACGAAUAAUCUUGUGGUUAAUACCCAUGAGAAGUGACGGUACCGGAAGAGAAAGCCACGGCUAACUACGUG